AGAGUUUGAUCAUGGCUCAGAAUCACGCNNGGCGGGUGCCUCAGACAUGCAAGUCGAACGAUUAAAGCCCCUUCGGGGGUGUAUAAAGUGGCGCACGGGUGAGUAACACGUAGGUAAUCUACCUUUGAGUGGGGAAUAACAAUCGGAAACGAUUGCUAAUACCGCAUAAUGCAGCGGCAUCAUAAGAUGGCAGUUGUUAAAGGAGCAAUUCGCUUAAAGAGGAGCCUGCGGCAGAUUAGCUAGUUGGUAAGGUAAUGGCUUACCAAGGCAACGAUCUGUAACCGACCUGAGAGGGUGGUCGGUCACACUGACACUGAAUAACGGGUCAGACUCCUACGGGAGGCAGCAGUCGGGAAUUUUGGGCAAUGGGCGAAAGCCUGACCCAGCAACGCCGCGUGAAGGACGAAGUCUUUCGGGAUGUAAACUUCGUAAGAAUAGGAAGAAUAAAUGACGGUACUAUUUGUAAGGUCCGGCUAACUACGUGCCAGCAGCCGCGGUAAUACGUAGGGACCAAGCGUUGUUCGGAUUUACUGGGCGUAAAGGGCGCGUAGGCGGCAAUUCAAGUCAGUUGUGAAAUCUCCGAGCUUAACUCGGAACGGUCAACUGAUACUGCUUUGCUAGAGUACAGAAGGGGCAAUCGGAAUUCUUGGUGUAGCGGUGAAAUGCGUAGAUAUCAAGAGGAACACCUGAGGUGAAGACGGGUUGCUGGGCUGAUACUGACGCUGAGGCGCGAAAGCUAGGGUAGCAAACGGGAUUAGAUACCCUAGUAGUCC
rnacentral:rRNA from 1 species